UGGGGAAUAUUGCACAAUGGGCGCAAGCCUGAUGCAGCCAUGCCGCGUGUGUGAAGAAGGCCUUCGGGUUGUAAAGCACUUUCAGCGGGGAGGAAGGCGAUAAGGUUAAUAACCUCAUCGAUUGACGUUACCCGCAGAAGAAGCACCGGCUAACUCCGUGCCAGCAGCCGCGGUAAUACGUAGGGUGCAAGCGUUAAUCGGAAUUACUGGGCGUAAAGCGCACGCAGGCGGUCUUGCAAGUCGGAUGUGAAAUCCCCGGGCUCAACCUGGGAACUGCAUUCGAAACUGGCAGGCUAGAGUCUUGUAGAGGGGGGUGGAAUUCCAGGUGGAGCGGUGAAAUGCGUGGAGAUGUGGAGGAAUACCGGUGGCGAAGGCGGCCCCCUGGACAAAAACUGACGCUCAGGUGCGAAAGCGUGGGGAGCAAACAGG
rnacentral:rRNA from 1 species